UUAUCUAAUUUACUGUGAACUGUUUUAAUUAUGACGCAUAAGGGGAUGACUAUAUACCAUAGGGUAGGUAUAUAGAAUGUUAACCUAGUCAUAGUCAAGCUUGAUGCUUGGUACCCAUUAUUAUUUACCAAAAGAAUUCAGAUUAAAUAAUGUAACAUAGAUCUAAACAAUCUAUAAAACAACUUUUAACAACGGAUCUCUUGGUUCUCGCAUCGAUGAAGAACGUAGCAAAGUGCGAUAACUAGUGUGAAUUGCAUAUUCAGUGAAUCAUCGAGUCUUUGAACGCAACUUGCACUCAUUGGUAUUCCAAUGAGUACGCCUGUUUCAGUAUCAAAAACAACCCUUAUUCAAACAUUUUGUUGGAAUAGACUUGAGCGUAGUAAGUUUAACUUGAGACGCUUUAAAUUCAGUAAGGCCUGAUAUUGUUUCACUGCCUAUAUUUUUUUUAAUUUAAGAAAGAUAGAAGCGAUUGAAGCUGUGGUUAAGGCCUCCCAAAUAAUUUUUUAAAUUUGAUCUGAAAUCAGGCGGGAUUACCCGCUGAACUUAAGCAUAUCAAAA
rnacentral:rRNA from 1 species